rnacentral:tRNA from 1 species
UUUGCCGCCGUGCGGGCCACAUGCGCGCCCUGGAAGCGCGCGCCCUCCAGUUCGACCUCGGACGGCUGAC